ACGAAGGGGGCUAGCGUUGCUCGGAAUCACUGGGCGUAAAGCGCACGUAGGCGGCGAUUUAAGUCAGAGGUGAAAGCCCGGGGCUCAACCCCGGAACUGCCUUUGAGACUGGAUUGCUUGAAUCCGGGAGAGGUGAGUGGAAUUCCGAGUGUAGAGGUGAAAUUCGUAGAUAUUCGGAAGAACACCAGUGGCGAAGGCGGCUCACUGGACCGGCAUUGACGCUGAGGUGCGAAAGCGUGGGGAGCAAACAGGA
rnacentral:rRNA from 1 species